rnacentral:rRNA from 1 species
AACGAACGCUGGCGGCAGGCCUAACACAUGCAAGUCGAACGUGAAGCCACCUUCGGGUGGUGGAAAGUGGCAGACGGGUGAGUAACGCGUGGGAAUCUACCCAAUGGUACGGAAUAACUCAGGGAAACUUGAGCUAAUACCGUAUGUGCCCGAAAGGGGAAAGAUUUAUCGCCAUCGGAUGAGCCCGCGUCUGAUUAGCUAGUUGGUGGGGUAAUGGCCCACCAAGGCGACGAUCAGUAGCUGGUCUGAGAGGAUGAUCAGCCACACUGGGACUGAGACACGGCCCAGGACUCCUACGGGAGGCAGCAGGUGGGGAAUAUUGGACAAUGGGCGCAAGCCUGAUCCAGCCAUGCCGCGUGAGUGAUGAAGGCCCUAGGG